CUUAGUCGUGUGUACAUCAUUGGGAAUGGAGGGAAAUAAAUGACUGGAUGGUCGCUGCUUUUUAAGUUUCAAAUUGACAUUCCAGACAAGCGGUGCCUGAGCCCGUGCCUGUCUUCAGAUCUUCACAGCACAGUUCCUGGGAAGGUGGAGCCACCAGCCUCUCCUUGAAUAACUGGGAGAUGAAACAGGAAGCUCUAUGACACACUUGAUCGAAUAUGACAGACACCGAAAAUCACGACUCAGCCCCCUCCAGCACCUCUACCUGUUGCCCGCCGAUCACAGCCGGAAUGCAGCUGAAAGAUUCCCUGGGGCCUGGUUCCAACCGCCCACUGUGGACUCUGAGGCCUCUGCAUUUGCGGGUGGUCUGCCUGUGAUAUUUUGGUCAUGGGCUGGUCUGGUCGGUUUCCCAUUUGUCUGGCCAGUCUCUAUGUGUCUUAAUCCCUUGUCCUUCAUUAAAAGCAAAACUAAAGAAAACAGAA
rnacentral:lncRNA from 1 species